CUAUGUCUAAGUCACCCUAUAACCAUUAUAAAGAUAGGAGCAAUCACUAUAAGCAGUGCUGUUUUUACCUGCUUCGGAAGGUGAAGCUGCAGAGGGGACGAUACCUGCCUGGAAAGAAAGCUGAAGAGACAAAGGCAGAGGGGUCAAUACUUGCCUGGAAGAAGGGUGGAAGAGUUCCGGAGUGACCCAAGUUAAGUUUUGG